rnacentral:rRNA from 1 species
GAUGAACGCUAGCGGCAGGCUUAACACAUGCAAGUCGAGGGGUAGAGGAAGCUUGCUUCCUUGAGACCGGCGCACGGGUGCGUAACGCGUAUGCAACCUACCUUUUACAGAGGGAUAGCCCAGAGAAAUUUGGAUUAAUACCUCAUGGUAUAUAUCAUUCGCAUGUUUGAUAUAUUAAAGUUCCAACGGUAAAAGAUGGGCAUGCGUCCUAUUAGCUAGAUGGUAAGGUAACGGCUUACCAUGGCAACGAUAGGUGGGGGUCCUGAGAGGGAGGUCCCCCACACUGGUACUGAGACACGGACCAGACUCCUACGGGAGGCAGCAGUGAGGAAUAUUGGACAAUGGGCGCAAGCCUGAUCCAGCCAUGCCGCGUGCAGGAAGAAGCAUCUAUGGUGUGUAAACUGCUUUUGUACGGGAAGGAACACUCCUUCGUGAAGGAGCUUGACGGUACCGUAAGAAUAAGGAUCGGCUAACUCCGUGCCAGCCGCCGCCGUAACAC